rnacentral:rRNA from 1 species
AUAGCGUAUAUUAAAGUUGUUGCAGUUAAAAAGCUCGUAGUUGGAUUUCUGGGAGGGUGCCAAUGUCCGCUUGUUGCGUGUGCAGCGGCGCCCUUCCAUCCUUCUGUUAACGUUUCUUGGUAUUCAUUUACUGGUUGCGGGCUCAGAUAUUUUACCUUGAGAAAAUUAGAGUGUUUAAGGCAGGCUUGUGCCCGAAUACAUUAGCAUGGAAUAAUAGAAUAGGACUUUGGUCUCCUUUGUUGGUUUGAGGGACUAGAGUAAUGAUUAAUAGGGAUAGUUGGGGGCAUUAGUAUUCAAUUGUCAGAGGUGAAAUUCUUGGAUUUAUUGAAGACUAACUACUG